AAUAAGAGACGGAACU
rnacentral:sRNA from 1 species